rnacentral:rRNA from 1 species
UACGUAGGGAGCAAGCGUUGUCCGGAAUCAUUGGGCGUAAAGCGCGUGUAGGCGGCUUGAUAAGUCUGCUCUGAAAGCCCGGGGCUCAACCCUGGGAGGCGGGUGGAUACUGUCGAGCUCGAGUCCGGAAGAGGCGAGUGGAAUUCCUGGUGUAGCGGUGAAAUGCGCAGAUAUCAGGAGGAACACCAAUUGCGAAGGCAGCUUACUACACAAUGAUUGACGUUGAGACGCGAAAGCGUGGGGAGCAAACAGG